rnacentral:rRNA from 1 species
AUACGUAGGGUGCGAGCGUUGUCCGGAAUUACUGGGCGUAAAGAGCUCGUAGGUGGUUUGUCGCGUCGUCUGUGAAAUUCCGGGGCUUAACUCCGGGCGUGCAGGCGAUACGGGCAUAACUUGAGUACUGUAGGGGAGACUGGAAUUCCUGGUGUAGUGGUGACAUGCGCAGACAUCAGGAGGAACACCGGUGGCGAAGGGGGGUCUCUGGGCAGUAACUGACGCUGAGGAGCGAAAGCAUGGGUAGCGAACAGGAUUAGAUACCCUGGUAGUCCAUGCCGUAAACGGUGGGCGCUAGGUGUAGGGGUCUUCCACGACUUCUGUGCCGUAGCUAACGCAUUAAGCGCCCCGCCUGGGGAGUACGGCCGCAAGGCUAAAACUCAAAGGAAUUGGCGGGG